rnacentral:rRNA from 1 species
UACGGAGGGGGCUAGCGUUGUUCGGAAUUACUGGGCGUAAAGCGCGCGUAGGCGGACCUGCAAGUCGGGGGUGAAAGCCCGAGGCUCAACCUCGGAACUGCCUUCGAUACUGCGGGUCUCGAGUCCGGGAGAGGUGAGUGGAACUCCGAGUGUAGAGGUGAAAUUCGUAGAUAUUCGGAAGAACACCAGUGGCGAAGGCGGCUCACUGGCCCGGUACUGACGCUGAGGUGCGAAAGCGUGGGGAGCAAACAGG